rfam:Macleaya cordata isolate BLH2017 scaffold7679, whole genome shotgun sequence.
GGGUGCGAUCAUACCAGCACUAAUGCACCGGAUCCCAUCAGAACUCCGCGGUUAAGCGUGCUUGGCGAGAGUAGUACUAGGAUGGUUGACCUCCUAGGAAGUCCUCGUGUUGCACCGC